rnacentral:rRNA from 1 species
UACGUAGGGUGCGAGCGUUAAUCGGAAUUACUGGGCGUAAAGCGCGCGUAGGCGGCUUUGCAAGUCGGGUGUGAAAUCCCCAGGCUUAACCUGGGAACUGCAUUCGAGACUGCAUUGCUAGAGUAUGGGAGAGGGAAGUGGAAUUUCAGGUGUAGCGGCGAAAUGCGUAGAUAUCUGAAGGAACAUCAGUGGCGAAAGCGACUUCCUGGACCAAUACUGACGCUCAUGUGCGAAAGCGUGGGGAGCAAACAGG